rnacentral:rRNA from 1 species
UACGUAGGUGGCGAGCGUUGUCCGGAUUUAUUGGGCGUAAAGCGCCCGCAGGCGGCUUGGUAAGUUUCAGGUGAAAUCUCCUGGCUUAACUGGGAGGGGUCCUGGAAAACUGUCAGGCUUGAGGCAGGGAGAGGGAUGUGGAAUUCCCGGUGUAGUAGUGAAAUGCGUAGAUAUCGGGAGGAACACCAGUGGCGAAGGCGGCAUCCUGGCCCUGUCCUGACGCUCAGGGGCGAAAGCGUGGGGAGCAAACCGG